rnacentral:rRNA from 1 species
GACGAACCGUGCAAACGUUAUUCGGAAUCACUGGGCAUAAAGGGCGCGUAGGCGACUCCAAAAGUCAGGGGUGAAAUCCGGCAGCUUAACUGUCGCAGUGCCUUUGAUACUGUGGAGCUAGAGGGAGGUAGGGGUCUGUGGAACUUCCGGUGGAGCGGUGAAAUGCGUUGAUAUCGGAAGGAACGCCGGUGGCGAAAGCGACGGACUGGAUCUCUUCUGACGCUGAGGCGCGAAAGCCAGGGGAGCAAAUGGG